UACGUAGGUGGCAAGCGUUGUCCGGAGUUAUUGGGCGUAAAGCGUGCGCAGGCGGUGCGGUAAGUCUCUGGUGAAAGCGCUCGGCUUAACUGGGCGAGGGCCGGGGAGACUGCCACGCUGGAGGGGAGCAGAGGCGAGUGGAAUUCCGGGUGUAGUGGUGAAAUGCGUAGAGAUCAGGAGGAACACCGGUGGCGAAGGCGGGUCUCUGGGCCGUUACUGACGCUGAGAAGCGAAAGCGUGGGGAGCGAACAGG
rnacentral:rRNA from 1 species